rnacentral:lncRNA from 1 species
GGCUAUCGCGAUGGUAAGUACGUCAGUUUCUCAUCUAUGUCACUUAAAAAAUAGGCCGAUCAUUGGCCGAUAUAGUCUUUAACUUGAAUAAUAUUGACACGUCCAGAUGAUGUUGAGGUCAGACUUCCAUCGACCUCAGCUUUCAGAUGAGGUCGGCCUCCCGAUGAGGCUGGCUUCCUGGGGACCACGAUCUUUCGAUAAGGUC